rnacentral:rRNA from 1 species
GCAGAGCACUCCUACGGGAGGCAGCAGUGGGGAAUAUUGCACAAUGGGGGAAACCCUGAUGCAGCCAUGCCGCGUGUGUGAAGAAGGCCUUCGGGUUGUAAAGCACUUUCAGUAGGGAGGAAGGUAGUGUAGUUAACACCUGCACUAUUUGACGUUACCUACAGAAGAAGCACCGGCUAACUCCGUGCCAGCAGCCGCGGUAAUACGGAGGGUGCGAGCGUUAAUCGGAAUUACUGGGCGUAAAGCGCAUGCAGGCGGCCUGUUAAGUCAGAUGUGAAAGCCCCGGGGCUUAACCUCGGAAUUGCAUUUGAAACUGGCAGGCUAGAGUCUUGUAGAGGGGGUAGAAUUUCAGGUGUAGCGGUGAAAUGCGUAGAGAUCUGAAGGAAUACCAGUGGCGAAGGCGGCCCCCUGGACAAAGACUGACGCUCAGAUGCGAAAGCGUGGGGAGCAAACAGGAUUAGAUACCCUGGGAG